UACGGGGGGGGCAAGCGUUGUUCGGAAUUACUGGGCGUAAAGGGCUCGUAGACGGCCAACUAAGUCAGACGUGAAAUCCCCAGGCUCAACCUGGGAACUGCGUCUGAUACUGGAUGGCUUGAAUUCGGGAGAGGGAUGCAGAAUUCCAGGUGUAGCGGUGAAAUGCGUAGAUAUCUGGAGGAAUACCGGUGGCGAAGGCGGCAUCCUGGACCGACAUUGACGCUGAGGAGCGAAAGCUAGGGGAGCAAACGGG
rnacentral:rRNA from 1 species